rnacentral:rRNA from 1 species
UACGAAGGGGGCUAGCGUUGUUCGGAAUUACUGGGCGUAAAGCGCACGUAGGCGGAUCGAUCAGUCAGGGGUGAAAUCCCAGGGCUCAACUCUGGAACUGCCUUUAAUACUGCCAGUCUAGAGUCCGGAAGAGGUAAGUGGAACUCCUAGUGUAGAGGUGGAAUUCGUAGAUAUUAGGAAGAACACCAGUGGCGAAGGCGGCUUACUGGUCCGGUACUGACGCUGAGGUGCGAAAGCGUGGGGAACAAACAGG